rnacentral:rRNA from 1 species
GACGAACGCUGGCGGCGUGCUUAACACAUGCAAGUCGAACGGAUAGGCCCUGCUUUUGUGGGGUGCUCGAGUGGCGAACGGGUGAGUAACACGUGAGUAACCUGCCCUUGACUUUGGGAUAACUUCAGGAAACUGGGGCUAAUACCGGAUAGGAGCUCCUGCUGCAUGGUGGGGGUUGGAAAGUUUCGGCGGUUGGGGAUGGACUCGCGGCUUAUCAGCUUGUUGGUGGGGUAGUGGCUUACCAAGGCUUUGACGGGUAGCCGGCCUGAGAGGGUGACCGGCCACAUUGGGACUGAGAUACGGCCCAGACUCCUACGGGAGGCAGCAGUGGGGAAUAUUGCACAAUGGGCGGAAGCCUGAUGCAGCAACGCCGCGUGCGGGAUGACGGCCUUCGGGUUGUAAACCGCUUUCGCCUGUGACGAAGCGUGAGUGACGGUAGUGGGUAAAGAAGCACCGGCUAACUACGUG